GCCUGCAGGCAUACACACGGACAGAAUAUUGUAUACAUAAUAAAUAAAUAAACAAACAUUUAAAAAAAAGACACCUAGAAUACUGACACCAGUGUUUUGUUUCUAUGACAAUUCAAGAGCACCUGGCACCUGCUAAAAGCUACUGAACCUGUACUGUAAGUCCCCUGUCCCAUUCACCUACCAUCUGUCUCUGGUGCCACACCCUUCAGAACCUGUAGUAGUCAAGUUCAGGCCAGAGGAGCACGUCGGAGUACUAUCCCUAGAAGUUAAGUAUGCCCAUAAACUUUAAGAGGUGACUGAUCUAUAAACAACUAUACUAGCCAUGUGAAAAAGGGCACUAAUUUUGCCUGUAAAUGGCCAAGGUAACAUUUACAGGGAGCUGACAUUUGAGAUGAAACAUGGAAGAGACUCAAGGUACUGCCUAAAGAAAAACAGAAAUUUCAAAGGAAUUUCAUAGUAGCAACCAUGACUGAGGUAUGAGCGAUGAAGCUAGCAUCCUAAUGAUAGGUAGCCAAGAAACACAGCACAGGACCCUGAAUAUAAGGGUUUAGAAUGGACUUUAUCUUUAAAAGACCUUCAGAAUUUAGCUACAUGUAGUGGUGUGGUGAAUGCAUACAGUCCAAGCGUUUGGCAGGGUGUGGCAAGACCAAAAGUUCAGGUCUAGCUUAAGUUAUACAGUGAAGACAGUCUGGGCUACACAGUGAGGAUCUGUCUGCAGAUAAACUGUUUCUUCCUUACCCAAGCCUCAGUGAAUAAUUUAAAAAAAAAAAGUUUCUAUUUUAGGAUAACUUGGUGGCACCUAUGUAAAAGUAUGAUUUUUUUUUUUAAAAAAAAAUCAAACCAAGGGUGAGGAUGGAGAUGAAAAUAUCCAUUUAUACCCUGGCAAUUGCAUGAAUAAGAUGCAAGUGUCGAACCAUCAGGAUUUGACUAAACAAAUGGAAAUGCAAGGGAGAAAAUGAAGUGAAAAGUAAGCUUCCUAGCAGACAGCAAAGGAGUGGGGAAAAGGCAGUAGGAUUUGGUUUGGCAAUCGGAGACUUAGGGAGAAAAGGGCCUUAGAGAUUACAGGACUUAAGAGGAAGGCCAGAUGGCUGGAACAUUGGUCCUCAGUGAGAAAAGGAGCAGUUAGAGGUGAGGGAAGUCUAGUAAGGCCACGUUCUAGAAGCUGUAACUUUUAACCACAACAAACUGGUAGGAUGAGAGCUGGCUGAGAUUUAGAUGGCUGGAGUCAAUAGUAGAUGUCUUUCAUCUCAGUUGCUCCAGAACAGGGCAGGUGACUGCUUUGUUGACAAACUUGAAAACAGGCAUCUUCUGACCAUGCCUGGCCAGGGGAAGCCAGCAAGUCAGUGAAGCCCAUCAUAUGGUGUCUCACUUAUUUUAUCUUUACCUGCUGUGCCCUUUCCACUCAGAGCCCCGAUGCCCAGACAGAAGACGGCGGCAGCAGCCACUGAACCAUCGUCCUACCACAAGCAGCCUGGCCCCAUCCCCAACUCUUGCUAGUUCUGGCCCAGCCUCCUCACGAAAUCUGGGCUCCUGUCUACUGCCCAAUUCACUCAGCUUAUCAGGGAGCAGCUGCUCAUUCCCGUCUUCAGGGGACAAGUCAGAGGCUGUCAUGGUGAUUGGGAAAAGUCUGCUAGGGGCUGGUGCUCGGAUCCCCUGCAUUAGGACUCGUUUGCAGACUUGCCCGAGGAGAGUUUCCGCCAGGAGGGGUCCCGGAUUCCCCAGGCUAGGCCCAGGUUGGGCCGGAGCUCACCGCCGACUCGCAGAGGGAUGAGAGGCUCUACAAGCCCCACAUCCCCUAUCCCCCAGACCAGAGAGAGCAGUGAGCUGGAGCCGGGACCCCGCUCUGCUACACCAGGGCUGCCUCAGGCCGGCCCCCCACGGCCCCACUCUGCCCCUGCCUUUUCUCCUAAUUCCUGUACUCUAUCUGACUCCCCAACCCGGAUUUGUUACAGCAAGGGGCCCCUGAACCAGUGUGAGGUUUGUUUCAUCCCUAAAUCUCCAUCACUCACUAUUUCUCCCAGGGUCUGACCAUGCCUUUACCUCCAUGCCCAGGACAUAGACCUAAGGUGAGGGAACACAGUGAACGAUACGUUAGUCCCGGCUUCCAGCUGCUGGUAUCAUGUGACAACAUAGCUCCUUGGGAUACCACGCGUCCAAGGCCUUGCAGAACAUCACCUUGAGACAGAACAAAACAGGGACCUGCCACCCCUUCCCUCCCUCCACAGCACAAGAUUUUGGGACCACAAAAAAAUAUAUAUAUUUAUAUUUUUGUAUUGGGGGGAGGGAAUAGAAAAGAAAGCAGCCCCUAUACUGGGCCCUAUUCAGUGGCAGCUUCUUGUUCCAUA